rnacentral:tRNA from 1 species
GCCGGGGUGGUGGAAUUGGUAGACACGCUACGUUCAGGUCGUAGUGCCCGUUAAGGGUGUGCAGGUUCGAGUCCUGUUCCCGGUA